rnacentral:rRNA from 1 species
GAAGGGGGCGAGCGUUGUUCGGAUUUACUGGGCGUAAAGGGCGCGCAGGCGGCAGACCAAGUCAGGCGUGAAAGCCCCGGGCUUAACCUGGGAGGUGCGUCUGGGACUGGUAUGCUAGAGUUCGGGAGAGGAGAGUGGAAUUCCCAGUGUAGAGGUGAAAUUCGUAGAUAUUGGGAAGAACACCGGUGGCGAAGGCGGCUCUCUGGACCGAGACUGACGCUGAGGCGCGAAAGCGUGGGGAGCAAACAGGAUUAGAUACCCUGGUAGUCCACGCUGUAAACGAUGUGUGCUAGACGUUGGGGAGCCUAGCUCUUCGGUGUCGCAGCUAACGCGGUAAGCACACCGCCUGGGGAGUACGGCCGCAAGGUUA